AGAACGAACGCUGGCGGCAUGCCUAACACAUGCAAGUCGAACGUGAUCCAGGCUUCGGCCUGGUGAAAGUGGCAGACGGGUGAGUAACGCGUGGGAACCUGCCCUGUGGUAGGGAAUAACCGUGGGAAACUGCGGCUAAUACCCUAUGAGUCCUUCGGGAGAAAGAUUUAUCGCCAUAGGAGGGGCCCGCGUCGGAUUAGGUAGUUGGUGGGGUAACGGCCUACCAAGCCUUCGAUCCGUAGCUGGUCUGAGAGGAUGAUCAGCCACACUGGGACUGAGAUACGGCCCAGACUCCUACGGGAGGCAGCAGUGGGGAAUAUUGGACAAUGGGGGCAACCCUGAUCCAGCAAUGCCGCGUGGAUGAUGAAGGCCUUCGGGUUGUAAAGUCCUUUCGGCGGGAAGAUGAUGACGGUACCGCAGAAGAAGCCCCGGCUAACUUCGUGCCAGCAGCCGC
rnacentral:rRNA from 1 species